rnacentral:rRNA from 1 species
CAGUCGCCGCGGGAAUACGUAGGUGGCAAGCGUUGUCCGGAAUUAUUGGGCGUAAAGGGCUCGCAGGCGGUUUCUUAAGUCUGAUGUGAAAGCCCCCGGCUCAACCGGGGAGGGUCAUUGGAAACUGGGAAACUUGAGUGCAGAAGAGGAGAGUGGAAUUCCACGUGUAGCGGUGAAAUGCGUAGAGAUGUGGAGGAACACCAGUGGCGAAGGCGACUCUCUGGUCUGUAACUGACGCUGAGGAGCGAAAGCGUAGGGAGCAAACAGGAUUAGAUACCCCUGUAGUCCCUGUCUCUUAUAC